GAUGAUGGCAAAGUGGACACACCUGUUCCCAUCUCGAACACAGAAGUUAAGCACUUUAACGGCGACGAUAGCUUGGCAUGCCCAAGUGAAAAUAGCAAAUCGCCAGUU
rfam:Erysipelotrichaceae bacterium MTC7 Contig_29, whole genome shotgun sequence.